GUGCCACGAAAUGAAUUUCCUGCUGACAUUUCUCCUGCUCAACACCACCUUUUCGUGGUCGAAUUGUGCUUCCGUUGAGUUUGAGAACAUGUCCGAAGACAACUGGCAACUGCUCAUCGGCGCAAAUUCAAAGGAACUGAAAUACGACUUUUGCAAGUAUAACGCGACAAGCGACGGAACACAGUGCACAAAUUUUGAAAAGUUCGCCUCAACAGACAUUGGCGAGGUGUGCAAUUGCUCCGUCCAACACACAAAAACCAAAGCUGGCUCCUUCACUUUCAGCGUCAACUGCCUCAGCAAUUCAAGUUGGUGCCCCAAGAAUCUGCUCAUUCAAUACCAGCAAGGCCCCUCCGAAAAGCCAUCACACGCUGAAGGAAUUUCAGCUUCCAAACAAGACCAGAUUAACUUUCCGUACUUGUCCUUGCCCCUUGUUGUCCUCGUUUGUUUGAUUGUGGGAGUGUUAGUCAAGUACCGAGAGCAAGUGCGUUCUUAUUGCACUGAAAAGAGGCGUCAAUACGACAACGGGUCUUCAAAUGAACAAAACCGUGAAGAAGAUCAAAGAGCUGAACAGUCAGUCGCUUUCCAGGAUUUUCCAAGUGCGUCUUUCGUCCGACCCGUCCAACUCCCGAAAUUUAACAUGGUUCUUUUUCGACUUGAUUAUUGGGUGUGAAGAAUGGACAUCAAUUUCACUAUGAAUGACGGUGAAUAUUGAUAUGAUAUAAUACUCUAUUAUAAUAAUGAUAUUCUCAGAGCACCAUGUAUUAAAAAUGCAAUCUCACCGCUGACUUGCAAAGUGAAUAAAAAUUAAGAACAAAUAAUCAAUAAUUUAAACAAUUUAUAAAAGGAUAAUCAAAUUAAUUUAAUUUAAUCACAAAAAUAUCUAUAGUUUACUCUCGCGUCGAGUUUUGCUGCUCGUUGCUGCUGCUGCAUGCCGCGCACUCUCAAUUUUAGCUUUGUCAGCUGCUCUCUUUCUCUCCUCUCAGCUCAUUUAGUUAUUAAUGAGGAAUCAAGACUGUGAAAUUACACAAAUAAUCAAAAUCACAUUUAAUCAUCACAAAAUUGAGCGUUCAAAAUUUUAAUUAUGCUAUUUUUUGGCGAGAAACAAACGAAAGCGCGCAGCUGGAGCGAUUUAGUUCUUUAAUUCUAGCUGACUGCUUGCAUUGCGAUUGGAGGCUCCUAACGAGGCACGGAGGCGCACACCAAACCAGCGUUAAAAAGGGAAAGCGGAGCACAAUGAACCCUCGGAACGUGAGGCAGGGAGAAGAAAGGGAUGAGGGUGCUGCAACUGUGACCCGCGGCAACUGUGCCCUAUGUUAAAAUGGUGGGAAGAGAAGGAGUGUGGCAUCAGGGUUUCGUCUUUAGGGAGGGUCUUUCGAGGGUGGUUGUGGCCUAAAUAUAUUGCUACUUUAAAUAAAAAAAUUUGCUUACAAUAUCGUUGAUUUCCUGCUUAAUUCGCAUCGUAUAUAUUUAAAAUGUGUGUUGAUAUCAAGAUAAUAACGUGACAAUCGAGUCUGCCCUUAUUGUUAGUUAAUUAAAUUCUGAAAAUUUUACUUAGGGCACAAUUGCCGCGAGUCACAGUUGCCGUUCACUCGCUUCAACUGUGACCGCGAGACGAGCUUGCAACGCAGCAUCCCUCGAGGGUGUUGUGCAUCAAAAGGGGACGCGCUGCUUCACAAUUAAAAAAGUCGCUCGCAGGUCAAACUUUUCCUUUGCAGCCGACCGCU